GACGAACGCUGGCGGCGCGCUUAACACAUGCAAGUCGAGCGAGAACCAGGCCUUUGGGCCUGGGGACAGCGGCGAACGGGUGAGUAACACGUGGGUAAUCUGCCCUCGGCAUCGGGAUAGCCCGGGGAAACCCGGAUUAAUACCGAAUGGCCUCUCGAGCUUUCGAGCUCGUGAGAAAAGGUAGCUUCGGCCUCCGGCCGAGGAGGAGCCCGCGGCGGAUUAGCUUGUUGGUGAGGUAAAGGCUCACCAAGGCGACGAUCCGUAGCUGGUCUGAGAGGACGAUCAGCCACACUGGGACUGAGACACGGCCCAGACUCCUACGGGAGGCAGCAGUGGGGAAUCUUGCCCAAUGGGCGAAAGCCUGAGGCAGCGACGCCGCGUGCGGGAAGAAGGCCUCGG
rnacentral:rRNA from 1 species